rnacentral:rRNA from 1 species
UACGAAGGGGGCUAGCGUUGCUCGGAAUCACUGGGCGUAAAGCGCACGUAGGCGGAUUCUUAAGUCAGGGGUGAAAUCCUGGAGCUCAACUCCAGAACUGCCUUUGAUACUGAGGGUCUUGAGUUCGGGAGAGGUGAGUGGAACUGCGAGUGUAGAGGUGAAAUUCGUAGAUAUUCGGAAGAACACCAGUGGCGAAGGCGGCUCUCUGGACCGAUACUGACGCUGAGGCGCGAAAGCGUGGGGAGCAAACAGG